rnacentral:lncRNA from 1 species
UGCACGUCUUCGUGGGAAACACCAGAAAGCUGAAUCUCUCCACAGCUGGCUUAGAAAAGAUUACUUUACAGAUGUCUGCUCCUUGUCAAAAAACUCCUUCGAUUUCUCUCUUUCAUGUCGGACACGAACAGAUCGUUAUUGGCUUGAAAUUGCAGAAUCCAUUUCUUCCCUUAAGAAAAUCCAUGGGGACGAAGAAAAAAGCUUCAGGAUACUGCCUGCUUCCACCACAGUGUUGGAAUGGUGGAGGAUACAGAUGUGCACACGGAACUCAGGAAUUGACUGG